CCUACGGGAGGCAGCAGUGAGGAAUAUUGGUCAAUGGGCGCGAGCCUGAACCAGCCAAGUCGCGUGAGGGAAGACGGUCCUAUGGAUUGUAAACCUCUUUUGUCGGGGAGCAAAAGACGCCACGCGUGGCGUUCCGAGAGUACCCGAAGAAAAAGCAUCGGCUAACUCCGUGCCAGCAGCCGCUGUAAUACGGGGGAUGCGAGCGUUAUCCGGAUGUAUUGGGUUGAAAGGGUGCGCAGGCGGAAGAUCAAGUCAGCGGUAAAAUUGAGAGGCUCAACCUCUUCGAGCCGUUGAAACUGGUUUUCUUGAGUGAGUGAGAAGUAUGCGGAAUGCGUGGUGUAGCGGUGAAAUGCAUAGAUAUCACGCAGAACUCCGAUUGCGAAGGCAGCAUACCGGCGCUCAACUGACGCUCAUGCACGAAAGUGUGGGUAUCGAACAGGAUUAGAUACCCUUGUAGUC
rnacentral:rRNA from 1 species